CCAUCCCAGUUCGGAUUGCAGGCUGCAACCCGCCUGUAUGAAGUUGGAAUCGCUAGUAAUCGCGGAUCAGCAUGCCGCGGUGAAUACGUUCCCGGGCCUUGUACACACCGCCCGUCACACCAUGAGAGUCGGGAACACCCGAAGUCCGUAGCCUAACCGCAAGGAGGGCGCGGCCGAAGGUGGGUUCGAUAAUUGGGGUGAAGUCGUAACAAGGUAUC
rnacentral:rRNA from 1 species